GACGAACGCUGGCGGCGUGCCUAAUACAUGCAAGUAGAACGCUGAAGGAGGAGCUUGCUUCUCUGGAUGAGUUGCGAACGGGUGAGUAACGCGUAGGUAACCUGCCUGGUAGCGGGGGAUAACUAUUGGAAACGAUAGCUAAUACCGCAUAAUAGUAGAUGUUGCAUGACAUUUGCUUAAAAGGUGCAAUUGCAUCAUUACCAGAUGGACCUGCGUUGUACUAGCUAGUUGGUGGGGUCACGGCUCACCAAGGCGACGUUACAUAGCGGACCGGCGAGGGGGAUCGGCCACACUGGGACGAAGACACGGCCCAGACUCCUACGGGAGGCAGCCGUAGGGAAUCUUCGGCAAUGGACGGAAGUCUGACCGAGCAACGCCGCGUGAGUGAAGAAGGUUGUCGGAUCGUAAAGCUCUGUUGUAAGAGAAGAACGAGUGUGAGAGUGGAAAGUUCACACUGUGACGGUAUCUGACCAGAAAGGGACGGCUAACUACGUG
rnacentral:rRNA from 1 species